CAACAAUGGCAAGCUGAAUCCCACAAAGCUUCAAGUCAACAAUGUGAAGGGCAGAAUCAAUGGAAGGAACAUCCAGUGUCAAUUUGAUGCCACAGUACCAGUCUCUACUAGCGCCCAAACUAAAGCAGCCACAGACAGUACAAGUUUCUCAAUGUCAGUCUCCACUGGAACUUAUAAUGCCACUUCAGGGGAUCUGGGUAGCCCUGCUUUCCAAAUAACAACUAAUGUGGUAAACCUGAGUGAUGUUAAUGCCACCGUCACCAAUUUGGUUAGUUCCAACUCCACCAACACCACCACCACCACCACCACCAAACCCACCACCACCUCUGCUGCUAAUGCAAUUACAAUCCAGCAAUCAAUGAUGCAAGGUAAAAGUACCAGAUAAGUUUUCUUCUUUCUUUUGGUUUAAUACUUACCUGAGAAAAGAAUAUGUGCUUCAAACAUGAAACACGUAGAGUACUUAAUACUUGUUCUUCUAUUCUUCCUUCCUCGCCUCUAGCUUUGCUGAUCACUGUGGGCAUCCUGACUCUGAGCUGGCUAUAAGGAAACUGAAACCUGCCCUACAUAACAGAUUAAAACUUCCCUAUCCAACCAUGCUACUAUUUUUAAACUCACAGGUUUACUAUCAACAGUAUGUCCCAGACUCCUAUGAUUAAUUUUGUGGGAAAAGGUCACAUUACAAAUCAGGACUGGUGGAGGGCAAUCACUUUCGAGAAGCUUUUUUUAUACUGCUUUUACAUGCAGUUAGAGAUUUGGUUGGAAUCAUUUGCAGAACUCUUUAAAACGGUGUGGUAAGAUGGGGCACAACUGCAUUAUUAAGAGUAACCGAACACAUAGUUUGAAUUAAGUGAACCAGAAUCACGGCUUUUACCAGUGUGUGCAAUUUAUGCAAAUUUUGGGUAAAGGGUCUGGUACCCUUUAAAGCCCACAUUUUUAUUGCUAAGCAAAAACAUUCGGUAAGUUUAUGGUUACUUUGAUUAUUAAACUGCUAAACCGUGUAAACAGAAACUGCUGGUAAACCAUUGUUUGCCUUUGUCUACCCUUAGAACACCAAAAGCAAAAUUCAUUUGCUGAUGAUGACAAUGAUGCCAGCAAAUGGCAGAGGUGCAUUUAAAAACAAUUAUGUUCUGAUAGUAUAUUUCUAUUAUAUGUUGUUUAUAUGAAUGCUGUUUGUUCAGCAGUACCUUUACAAUGAUGCCUUCAGUGGCUGAUGUUCACAUGUGUUGCUUGCUUUUUAGCAGGUGUUCACAAAUAAUGCUAUAUGUGGUACUACUGAAGAUGCUCGUGUAAUGAUUUUGUAUUACAUGUUUAUAAUUAAAUAUUUAUCAAAAAAAUA
ensembl:lncRNA